UGUGCACUUUUACUUUUCUAUCUGUCUGAAGGAUUGAUCAGUUAUCUACCAGCUAGUGCAGCUACUUGAGAAUGGAUACAUUAAACAUAGGCAGAAGGAUGUUACCAGGAUGACCUAGCAUGUCCACUGCAUGGCUUGGUUAUGCUGACUUCAAAGGACUCCUUCUGCAAUUUACAGAAGUUCAGAUGUUGGCUUUGAGAACUUGUAUCACUUAAAGAAAAAGAAGAGAGGCUACAGCACCUCAGGUAGCACCAUGUAGGUCUGACAGUUCAAGAGGAUGACCUGUAUGCUGAGGAGAAAGGUGUAAGGUAAACUACCAUUCAGUCACCUGCAUUUGGGGAAUGUCAGAGGAGAAAUGAAAGUGCAGGAACCCUCAUCUUAAAAGAAGCCAUAGCAUUGUUUUUAGGGUGCUGGCUGAAGGCUGUUUAAAGUGAUACUACCCAAAGGGAAUUUUCCAGUUUGCUGGCUUUGUGGCUUGGCUGAACUGGUGUUUAAGAAACUAUCCUCUCUUCAGUUGCCACUGAUGAAAUUAUACAACUUUACAAAAGCUGUUGAAAAACUACAAGAAAAACACACACAUAGGAAACAAGUGCACUGCC